UACGGAGGGUGCAAGCGUUAUCCGGAUUCACUGGGUUUAAAGGGUGCGUAGGCGGGUUGGUAAGUCCGUGGUGAAAUCCCCAAGCUUAACUUGGGAACUGCCGUGGAUACUAUCAAUCUUGAAUAUCGUGGAGGUAAGCGGAAUAUGUCAUGUAGCGGUGAAAUGCUUAGAGAUGACAUAGAACACCUAUUGCGAAGGCAGCUUACUACGCAGAUAUUGACGCUCAUGCACGAAAGCGUGGGGAUCAAACAGG
rnacentral:rRNA from 1 species